AGGUGCCAUGCGUAGACACCUGGCUUCCUGCGCACGGUCCGCACCCACAUAACGACUGCUGGCUACGUUUUUUUCC
rnacentral:sRNA from 1 species